AAGAUUUUAAGAUAAUUAAUCUAUUAACCUUCAAAGUUAAAUAUAUAUAUAUAUAUUAUAUAAAUUUUA
rnacentral:tRNA from 2 species